GGCUUUAGAUAAGAAUUGGAACUUGAUUACCGCAGCAGCUCAUUUACUCCGUUUCCUUGGCUGAGCGAGGCAUUUGAGUUUGAUUAACAAGAUUUUCUACUUGACGUUCAACUCUCAUUUUCCGAAGCGCUGAGGACGGCACUUCCGUCCCUCUCCAUCACCUCUGCCAACUUACGCCUCCGCCUCCGGGCCUCGGAGCCGCCUUGGCAAUGGCCAGUCCUGCGAUUGGUUCCCAGCGGUGAAGGAGCUACUGACUCCGACCUUGUCUGAAGGUUACUUCUCAAGUUCGUGCAUUUUCUCAGCGAUGUGCAUUCAAAUUAGGUGCUGGUGAUACAAGGGUGAAGCUGGCAGUAGAAGAUUCCUCCCGUCUCAGUCCUCGCCUUCAGAGGGAGGAAGAGAGACAACAAACAAGUGAACAAAAUAGGUGGCACCGGUGGUGCAGGAGAGUGAAAAGACGAUGCCCGAAGGAGGCAGAGGGCAUGAACUUGGGGAAUGCACCUGCGGCAGGAAGGGAAACAUUUCCUCCACUGGGGCCGAAGGAAAGGAGAAGAUGGAUGCCUGUGCUUCUGAUGUGGCACCUGGUAGGAUGAAUUAAGGACCAUGGCCGGCACCUGGUAGGAUGAAUUAAGGACCAUGGCCAGCACCUGGUAGGAUGAAUGAAGGACCAUGGCUGUUAUCUGAGAGAGGAGGGGAGAAGGAACCUGGAACACCUCAGCAAAGAGGACAAGGGAUCUAGCAUUUUGAAGACACACAAUUUAGCAGACAUUCAAAUUCGCUGAACAGAUGAAUUCAGAGGGGAGGUGGAGAUCUCAGAUGGAAGCGAUGUUCGAGGAAGAAACUGCAUGGAGGCCUGAAACGCAUGGUCCCCUCUACACACCUGAAGAGGAAGCCGUACGAGAGACCCAAGAGUCAUGCUGGGACUGUGCAGUUCAUACUCCUAAAGGAGAUAACCCGAUUGGCCCAGCUCCUGCCUCCUCAAUAUGCUGACCACCCAAUGAGUUCACUGCUCUUGGUCAUAUGCACCACUUUUAGUCUGCUCAGCAAUGGAAGAUGUGGAGAAGAUCUCAUGUUCAGAACGGACUGUGCAUUCAGCAGGAUGGUACAGCCCACAAUGCCUUCUUUCCAGAAGUACUGGGGAGGGAACAGAGAUGUUUCAUCGGAAUCCUAGUCUGUCACUGCUCUGCAACCUUGGGGAGACCCUCAACCUCUCUGCUCCAACUUGCCUCAUUCAGAGUUCUGAGACUGUCUCCUAGAUCUGUACAAGAGUCUUUCCUGGCCACUGCUCCUUCCACAACCUCCUCUAAUCUAUUCUCUUCAUGCUGCUGACUGCUUGGCUUUCUGGAUUGGGACUCUGUCUGCUAGAUUUUGGUAUUUCAGAAUUGCGGAUAAUGGAAUGCGGAUGUGAAUAUCUCUAAAGAAAGAAAGACUCAAUCAUGGAAGGGAGAAGUGAGCCAUGGAAGUGUAGAAAAGGGAGAAGCGUGGAGAACAUGUGAGCAGUGACCAAACACUACCCAGCAAGAGGCAGGAUUUACUAUAUUCUGAUUCCAUUGUCAAGGCCAGCGUUGUAGAAAGAAAGAAAGAAGUGCUGAGCUCUCUCAACUGAGAUCACUAAACAGUUGGCUCAUUUGAACAGUAUUUUUCUACUUUUGUACUCCCCAAGCCACUGGACAAUUAUCAAUCUUGGCAUAUAUAAAAUAUCUGCAGAAGAGAAUAAUCUUUUCACAACUUUGGGUUCCUACUUCUGUAAUAGGGCAAAGAGGCAAGGGCAGAGAGCAGUCUACAUAACUUGGAAGGAUAGUGUCGUGUGGAGAGGGCAGACUUGAGAGACAUUGUGCCCUUGGGUCAACGGAACAGACACCUCCAGGUGACCCCAGAGAGAGGAAGCAGAGGCUUCAUUGAAGACUUCACCCAAGAAGAAAGGAGGGGAAGAGAAUCAGCUCAGCCUGGCGUAAGCCAUUCGUCCUAUGAGCCGAGUGCUCUUUUAAAGGCCUCGUGUUUAUGAACUCACAUAAUUCUCAGGACAACUCUUAGGAGACAGACACUAUUUUUAUCCUCAUUUUGCAGACAAGGGACAGGUUUCCACAAGGAAAUUAAGAAGCUUGCUUGUGACCUCACAAAUGGCAAGAGCUGGGCCUUGCCGGCAGGUGUCCUGGCUCCAGAACCUGUGCUGACAACCACUUACCCUCUACUCCACUGAAUCUCCCACUAUUCUGUUCGGCAAACAAGAAAGUCCUACUUCACUUUACUCCUUGUCAAGAGGACCCUUCACGACUACAGAAUAAAACCUGGUACCUAGGACACCUUGAAGGCUAGUAAGAUAGCAAAAACACACUUCUUUCUGUGGUGGCAGGAAGAGGAUGCCCAGCCCUUGAAUGACAUGAGCUGGCGGGCUCUUGGCUGGACAUCAAGGAAGUAGACGUCCGUUCACUCCAGCAGUCACCGUGAACAUUUCCAUUUUUGGAAUCCCCCUUUUCUCCUUUAUAGAACACAAUGAUAGGAUGCGUGGAUAUCUCAGGGUUUUGUGGUUUUAAAAGUUGUGGGAUUUUGGGGUGCCUGGGUGGCGCAGUCGGUUAAGCGUCCGACUUCAGCCAGGUCACGAUCUCGCGGUCCGUGGGUUCGAGCCCCGCAUCGGGCUCUGGGCUGAUGGCUCAGAGCCUGGAGCCUGA